rnacentral:misc_RNA from 1 species
AAAGUCGUAACAAGGUUUCCGUAGGUGAACCUGCGGAAGGAUCAUUACCGUGGGGGCUUCGGCCCCCUCGAGAUAGAACCCUUGCCUUUUUCGAGUACCUUCGUUUUCCUCGGCAGGCUCGCCUGCCAAUGGGGACCCCAACAAACCCUUUGUAAUGCCUGCAAUCGUCUGACAAAACAAGCAAAAAUCAAAACUUUCAACAACGGAUCUCUUGGUUCUG